UCCGUCCGUCUGUCCUUCCUUCCUUCCUUCCUUCAGUAUUUCUUCGUUGUCUUCAAACACAUGUUCCAUGGGUGUUGUUUUAAAGGUUGUUUCUCUUGUGUUUCAGACUCGGGGACACCUCUGACCGUCAGGGUGGUGCUCAUCGUCCUGGCUCUGCUCAUAAUUGUUCUUUGCCUCUUCUUCUUCUUCUUCUUCUACUAUAAGGUCUAUGUGAGGCGGAGCUAAAGGAAGGCGGAGUCAAACACAGUCACAGUUCAGGAAGAAACAUCCCAUUAAUAGAGUUCCAGUUGUUCAAGAGGAGUUGUGUUAUUGUUUAGAGUUAUUGUUUAGUGUUGUUGUUUGUUGUGCUAUUGUGUUGUUGUUGUGUGCGUAGUUGGGUUUCUUUCAGAGGACUCAACCUCCCACUGAAGAUGAGGAGGAGGAUGAACAGCAGAGGAGGAGGGUCACAUGACCCAAUAACAAACACACACACACACACACACACACACACACACCAGAGCAGUAGAGAAAACACAGUUACGACACUUAGACUCCUGUUGUAAAAAAUGUCAGACUAAAUACGGACGUCCUUCCUGGUUCUGGAGGCGGGGCCAAUAAUUCCAAACAUUGACUGUACCACCGUCUGAACACGUUCAUUUGUAUUUGUGCUGAUCUACCAACUCCAGCUCUAAGGUGAUCAGAUAUGGUCAUCUUUCCACUGGUCCAGUGUAUUUCCUGUAUCAGUGACAUUUCUGUUGUAAAUUCGGUUUUCUUUGGUCUGUGUUGGCGUUUGGAUCCAUUUCUAUCUGAUCCAACUGUUCUGUUGGGUUUUCAGCUGUAGUCCUAUAGUUCCAUAGUUGGACUGGUCCAGCUGUUCACAUGGAACCACUAGAACUACAAUGAGGGAGGUUCUAAGGGAAGGUGCCGUUAGUCCAGAUGUGGUUCUGUGGGUUUGAUUUCAGUUGUUCUGUUCAACCUGCUGGUGUUGGCUUCAGUUUGUCAGCUGAGGUCAUGUGAUCAUUAGUGUCAUUUACUGUAGGUCCA
rnacentral:lncRNA from 1 species